CUGGGUGUCUUCUCCCCGCGUCCCUCCCAUACUUGCCUCCGGGCUGGGUCUGCAAGGGGUUCCCAGAUCUCCAGAGUAGAGGUUGGGCCCGGCCCCGGAGAUACGUUGGCUCCAUCCUCCGCCGGCCUCCUCGCCCCAGUUUGAGUGCCCGGGGAGCCCCCAGGCCAGCGGAGACUGAGCUCUCGGGUUGUAGUUCGCGUCUUCACUUUGUGUCAGACUGUGCGGGGGCAGAAGAAGGGAUUCGGGUCUAGGCUGUCGGCCCCAGCUCCCUUGCCGGCCAGGGGGCCCCGGAACCCCAUUGAGGCAGCAGGUCACUUCCUGCUUCCUGGUCCCCACGGUGGCUUCGUGGCCGGGAGUGCAGGGACGCCUCCUCUUUCUCCGCCUCGGUCUCUGAAGCGUGGAAACUGAGGCGGAUUGAGGGUGGGGCGGUCAAAUUGGGUUCCAAAAGAAAUGUCAUACCGCAGAGAAUUGCUGUUCGUAACCAAACCAAACUUGUUUGAGGUUGGAGAGCGAGGAAUGGGGAGGUUAGCUGGAGUUGUCCCUUGGUCUGAAACCUAGCCCCUUUGGCUAGAGCGGAACCUUGAUCGGGAGCCCAGCCCCUCCGUAGUCCCCAAGCUAUUGAAGCCCGUCUGUUGGAGUUGAGAUGGAGCAUACUUCGUUCACGUAAAGUUUCAGUUACUGUGUAACACAUAAAAGUGCAAAGUUAAGAAAAUUGAAGUCCAAGACCAUGGGAGAUACAGCAAAACCUUAUUUUGUGAAGCGCACAAAAGACCGAGGAACUGUGGAUGAUGAUGAUUUCAGAAGGGGUCACCUCCAACAAGAUUAUUUAAUAAUGGAUGAUUAUGCUAAAGGCCAUAUCAGUAAAAUGGAAAAGGGCCUUCCAAAAAAAAAGAUGGCACCAGGGAACUAUGGGAAUACCCCCAGAAAAGGACCAUAUACUGUUUCUAGCAAUCCAUAUGCAUUUAAAAACCCAAUCUACAGUCAACCUGCUUGGGUAAAUGACAACCACAAAGAUCAAAGUAAGAGAUGGCUAUCUGAUGAACUUACUGGUAAUUCAGACAAUUGGAGAGAAUUCAAACCUGGACCUAGAAUUCCUGUUAUAAGCCGACCUAGGAAAGACUCCUUUCAAGAAACUGAAGAUGGUUAUAGGUGGCAAGAUGCAAGAGGCUGCAGAACUGUAAGACGACUGUUUCAUAAAGACCUAACAAGCCUUGAAACCAUGUCAGAAAUGGAAGCAGGAAGUCCUG